rnacentral:rRNA from 1 species
UUUCGCAAUGCCCGAAAGGGUGACGAAGCGACGCCGCGUGGGUGAGGAAGGCCUUCGGGUUGUAAAGCCCUGUCAGGAGUUAUGAAAUGUAAGUGCGCUAAUAUCGUGCUUAUUUGACAAAGGCUCCAAAGGAAGCCACGGCUAACUCUGUGCCAGCAGCCGCGGUAAUACAGAGGUGGCGAGCGUUGUUCGGAAUUAUUGGGCGUAAAGAGCACGUAGGUGGGUUUGCAAGUCAGAUGUGAAAGCCUUCUGUUCAACGGAAGAAUUGCAUCUGAAACUGCUAAUCUUGAGUAUAGGAGGGGAGAAUGGAACUUCUGGUGGAGCGGUGAAAUGCGCAGAUAUCAGAAGGAACGCCGGCGGCGAAAGCGAUUCUCUGGCCUAUUACUGACACUCAGUGUGCGAAAGCUAGGGGAGCAAACGGGAUUAGAUACCCCGGUAGUCCUAGCCGUAAACGAUGGGCACUAAGUAGAGGGGUUUUA